CCUACGGGAGGCAGCAGUGGGGAAUAUUGCACAAUGGGGGAAACCCUGAUGCAGCAACGCAGCGUGAAGGAAGACGGUUUUCGGAUUGUAAACUUCUGUUCUUAGUGAAGAAUAAUGACGGUAGCUAAGGAGCAAGCCACGGCUAACUACGUGCCAGCAGCCGCGGUACUACGUAGGUGGCAAGCGUUGUCCGGAAUUACUGGGUGUAAAGGGAGCGCAGGCGGGAAGCCAAGUCAGCUGUGAAAACUACGGGCUUAACUUGUAGACUGCAGUUGAAACUGGUUUUCUUGAGUGAGGUAGAGGUUGGCGGAAUUCCGAGUGUAGCGGUGAAAUGCGUAGAUAUUCCGAGGAACACCGAGUGCGAAGGCGGCCAGCUGGGCCUUAACUGACGCUGAUGCUCGAAAGUGUGGGGAGCAAACAGGAUUAGAUACCCCUGUAGUC
rnacentral:rRNA from 1 species